GGACUCAAGCAAGUCCAGCUCCGGCCACCUGAUCUCUCUGACCUGGGGUCUCGACUUUAGGGCGGGGCCUCUUCCUCGCCUCCUGCCUGGACAUCUGCUCCGACCCAAGGUCCUCGCCAGUUCUAGAGGAAAUCCCUAAGGCCUGAGUUGGUCGGGGUGGCUGCCCCCAGGGCUUGCCCCGGAGGCCAAGCGGCGACCAAGUAUCAUCCAAUCUUCCCUAGCAUCCCAAGAUCUGGAAAGGCGAUGCCAGCGCUGGAUUCAUCUUACAGGCCUCUGCUGCGGAGCCCGCUGGCUUGCUCUUUCUAGCUGUGUACACAUGUGUUCAAUUGUGGAUACACCGACUUAUGAUUGCAAACAAGGCGGGCACUCGGAGCCGAAAGCUAACACAGGUUUCUAGUUUUAGGCCAGGUGUAUUCAGGAAUCCCGACACCAAUUUGCGCCUAGACUCCACGCUUUCUGGUCCUUGACUCGGUAUCUCUAGGGCCGCAGCAUCAAUUCCGUGUCAUCCGAAGUGGUUUAGUUUGUCACCUGCUCCGCAGCGGGGAGCCGCCUCUGUGUUCAACGUUGCUGGCAGGGGGUUUGGAGAAGUUGAAAGCGCGCUGAGCGGUCGCAAGGAGACGGCAGGCCACAGCUGGCCGAAUGGGCAAAGGAACCGCGGGUAGGCCUGGGUACCGCGGAGGGAAUUCUGAAUUGCGAUCCCAGCAUCAGGACCGCAGGACCCCGGAGUUUGUGGCUUGCAACGGGCGCCCCCUCGGGAACGCAGCGCACGUUUGUUCCACGCUGGUGCGAAGCGCACAUAGAGCAACGCCAUGUCUGUCCCCGAGUCUGGUAUAUUUCGGAGUCUGGCAAACCCGCCAUUUAGUGAUGUUUGGCCUAAUCCUGGUUCCUAGCUAGAUAUAGGCAGAAACGAAAUAGUGAUCGGUGUGUUCUCCCUUAAUCCCAAAGCCUGCACAAAA
rnacentral:lncRNA from 1 species